GCAUAUUUCAUUCGCGCCUGUAUCUUGCUGAACCGUAACCAUCCUUGGUCUUUCAUUCCGGUUGAGCAAAAUUUCAGGUGUGUGAGAAAUUUGUUAAGCA
rnacentral:pre_miRNA from 1 species